rnacentral:lncRNA from 1 species
AUGAGGGCGGUUGCGGGGUGGGGGGUGACGGCGAUGCGGGGAUCCCCCUCCCCGCGCCCUCUUCUCCCCGGGGCGCGGCGCGGCGCAGGGGGGAGAGGCGCCGCUGCGCUCGCUGUAACAUGGCUGACUCCAGCUCGGCGCUGCUGGCUGGAGAGAAAACAAGGCGGGCGAGAGCCAGAGCUAGGGGGAGCUGGCUGGGCGCACCAGGUCCGAGGCAACUUUUUUUUUUCUCCCCCCUCCCUUUUCACAGCCCCGUGUUUUCCGUGCGGGGGUGGUCCGGGAAGCGCGGGAUUAGGUGGGAUAUCGGAAGGCCAUCUACCCAGCAGUGGUAAGGCGGUUUUCCCGAAGGCGAAGGCGGCCCCCCCCACCCCAGGUUCUAGCUGUGGGUCUGGAGGGGCCGCGCCCCCCCACACCACCCACCCCCUGGCUCCUCCCCCUCCCCCUCGUCUUUUCCCCCUCCCCCUGCCUGUAAUGGCUGAGUGUGCGCCAGAGCGCACCGCGCACUCCACUCCCCUCCUCCCCUUUCCUCCCUUCCCCUCCCUCUCUCACUCUCAGUCUCCCACACUCACACACACACGCACGCACACACAAAGGGAAGGAGCCAUAUUCUCGCUCUCACUCUCGCCCUCUCGGCGGCGCAGGCGAGGAAGACGAACAGCGGCCAUUCCGUGCGCGCCGCGCCGCCGGGUACACACGCACCCUCACGCGCCACGCGGGACCCCGCGGCCCGAGCCGUCUCCCCUCCCCCCAACCUCUCCCUCCUUUCCCCGCCCCCGCUUAAAGCGCGGGCUUCGGGCGGAGCCAGACCCCAUUUCGAGUGGGGACUUUUGCUCUCUGGCGCACGACGGACGGUUCUUACAAAAUGGGGGGGCGGGGAGGAGCUGGAGGAAAAAGAGUCGCCGCAGCCGCCCGGGGCCUGCUCGGGCCGCCUUGCGCACGCGGAGAGAGCCCGGGGCUGGGCCGGCGACCGGGCUGAGCAGAGCCGCGGUGGUGGCAGCGCGCCGCGUGUGCUCGAGCCCUGCACCUCCGACAGGGUCCCGCUGCCCAAGUUCGCUGUCACCCUCCCUGCGGGGGGGGGUCUACACGUGGCCCAAGGGCGCCCCCCCCAUUCCCUUAUUUCUCUAA